CCUACGGGUGGCAGCAGUGAGGAAUAUUGGUCAAUGGACGAGAGUCUGAACCAGCCAAGUCGCGUGAAGGAUGACUGCCCUAUGGGUUGUAAACUUCUUUUAUAAAGGAAUAAAACGAGGCACGUGUGCCUUUUUGAAUGUACUUUAUGAAUAAGGAUCGGCUAACUCCGUGCCAGCAGCCGCGGUAAUACGGAGGAUCCGAGCGUUAUCCGGGUUUAUUGGGUUUAAAGGGAGCGUAGAUGGGUUGUUAAGUCAGUUGUGAAAGUUUGCGGCUCAACCCUAAAAUUGCAAUUGAUACUGGCAGUCUUGAGUACAGUUGAGGUAAGCGGAAUGCGUGGUGUAGCGGUGAAAUGCUUAGAUAUCACGAAGAACCCCGAUUGCGAAGGCAGCUUACUAACCUGUGACUGACAUUGAUGCUCGAAAGUGUGGGUAUCGAACAGGAUUAGAUACCCUUGUAGUC
rnacentral:rRNA from 1 species